rnacentral:lncRNA from 1 species
AUGAAGCACACACAUAGUGAUUGUGGGUCUUGAGUGCCCCCUGCAGCCCAGACCCUGUGUCCCUGCAGAGAGGUUUUUGUCUGGGCUGACAUGCCUUCCCCUCACUGUGCCUGUUGCACAGUAAUACCGGGCCGUGUCUUCGGUUCUCAGGCUGUUCAUUUGCAGAUAGGCCGUGUUCUGGGAAUUGUCUCUGGAGAUGGUGAAUCGGCCCUUCACAGAGUCUGCGUAGCGGGCCGUGUCUUCGGUUCUCAGGCUGUUCAUUUGCAGAUAGGCCGUGUUCUGGGAGUUGUCGCUGGAGAUGGUGAAUCGGCCCUUCACAGAGUCUGCGUAGUAGGUGCUACCACCACUACUAGUAAUAUAUGCCAGCCACUCCAGCCCCUUCCCUGGAGCCUGGCGGACCCAGAUCAUGUUGUAGCUACUGAAGGUGAAUCCAGAGCCAACACAGGAGAGUCUCAGAGACCCCCCAGGCUGCACCAGGCCUCCUCCAGACUCCACCAGCUUCACCUCACCCUGGACACCUGCAAACACAAAGACAUCCUGGUCAGAAAACUGUCACACGCACACUGAGGUGCCCUCAAAUCCUCUUUUUUCUCCCACCCACAGGAUUUACCUUGUAAGAGAGCAAACAAGACCACCCAGUUCAGCCGAAACUCCAUGGCGGGUGGUCUGUGUUCUUUCCUGAUCGCAGAAUGGGAUCCUGGGGCUGGGCUCCUUGCCAGAGCUGCAGGGUGAUGGCAGGGCUGGUUUUAUCUGCUGAGGGAGGAACCCAUUUGCAUGGCCUCCUAGUAUAUAAGCGGUUAUGGCAUCGAAUGGCCUCAACACGGCAGGUCCCCAAGGCAGGAAUGAGUGUCUUGAAGUUGGUUGUGUUGAUAGCAUUUACGAAUAUGCAUUUUCAUUACGUCAGUUUCUUCACGGUAAACACCUAUCACUCGUGUGCUAUUUUGUUUUUACAUUUGCACACAACCCUCUGAUGUAGAAGUCAUUUUUUCCCCAUAUUCAGGGAAGAAAUUUCAACUACGCACAUAGAGGGUUUGUGGACGGUCCGGGGACACACACGUGCUGGGAGUCCCUCCUCGUGUCUGCACUUGUGCUCCUCCUGCUGGACCCACCUGCUUCCUGGACCAACUCCAGGACAGAGUGGACACACCUGCAGGGGAGGGCAGAUCCCUCUUCCGUCAUGAGAACUUGAGGGUAUUGUUCUGUUGUAGUGUUUACACGGGAGGGUAUCUUUAGGAUUCAUGGG